GGCCAAGCGAGGAAGGGCCCGUGGCGGAUGCCUGGGAGCCGCAAGGCGAAGAAGGCCGCGGCAAGCUGCGAAAAGCCCGGGGGAGGAGCACACAUCCUGCGAUCCCGGGGUCGCCGAAUGGGGCAACCCGCGCGCCGGGAGGCGCGCACCGCGCGCACGAGCAAAGCAGUGCGGCGGGGCCACACCGCGCGAAGUGAACCAUCUGAGUAGCGCGGGAGAAGAAAUCAACAGAGAUUCCCCGAGUAGCGGCGAGCGGAAGGGGAGGAGCCCAAACCGCCCGAGGGCGGGGUUGUAGGGCCGCGCGGGGACGACCCGCAGGGCAGCAGAAUACGCGCGCGCGAGCGGAAGGCGCCGGAGAGCGCCGCCGCAGAGGGUGACAGCCCCGUACGCGGAGCGCGCGCGGCCCUGUGGCGCGGUGCCUGAGUAGGGCGGGGCACGAGGAACCCUGCCUGAAGCGGGGUCGACCACGAUCCAAGGCUGAACACUCUGCGGCUACCGAUAGCGGAGAAGUACCGUGAGGGAAAGGCGAAAAGAACCCCGGCGAGGGGAGUGAAAGAGAACCUGAAACCACGGGCCCACAAGAUGCCGCGGGAGCAGGCGCCUGCGGCGUGUCUUUUGUAGAAUAAGCCUGCGAGUUGCGCUGCGCGGCGAGGCCAAGGGAUAGGAGUCCCGGAGCCGGAGGGAAACCGAGCCCGAAGAGGGCGGACGAGUCGCGCGGCGCAGACCCGAAGCCACUGUGAUCUUACCGCGGGCAGGCUGAAGCAGGGGUGAAGCCCUGUGGAGGGCCGAACGCCAGCCUGUUAAAAAAGGCGGCGAUGACCUGCGGUACGGAGUGAAAGGCUAAACAAACAUGGAGAUAGCUGGCUCUCCCCGAAAUGCCUUUAGGGACAGCCCCGCGCAGGGCUUGCGGAGGUAGGGCGCUGGACGGCCGAGGGGGAGUCAAAUCCUACCGGAUCCGAUCAAACUUCGAAUGCCGCAAGCCGGCGCGCGGGAGUGAGACUGCGGGCGACAAGGUCCGCGGUCGAGAGGGAAACAGCCCGGACCGCCGGCCAAGGCCCCGAAGCCAUGCUGAGUGUGAAAUGAGGUGCGCCUGCGCGGACAGCCAGGAGGUUGGCCCAGAAGCAGCCAUUCCUUGAAAGAGUGCGUAACAGCUCACUGGUCGAGCAGGCGCGCGCAGACAAUGUAGCGGGGCUAAGCAUGGCGCCGAAGCCGCGGGAUCCCGCCCCUGGGGCGGGAUCGGUAGGGGAGCAUUCCGCAGGCCCUUGAAGGCGCGCCCGCGAGGGGCGCUGGAGGCGGCGGAAGAGAGAAUGCAGGCAUGAGUAACGCAAAGACGGGUGGGAUCCCCGUCCGCCGGAAGCCCGAGGUUUCCAGGGGAAGGGCAGUCCGCCCUGGGUAAGUCGGCCCCUAAGGCGAGGCCGGGAGGCGUAGCCGACGGGAACCCGGUCCACAUUCCGGGACUUCCUCCGGUUUCGACGGCAGGACGCAUGAGGCGAGGCCCGGCGGGAGAACGGUAGUUCCCGCCGAAGCGGCGAGGCGCAGAGGGGCGCAGGCAAAUCCGCGCCCCGAGCCGAGCCGGGAGCGAGCCGAGGGAAAGCCGAGGCGAAGCGGGCGCAGCCAUGGUGCCGGGAAACACUGUCUAAGGCCAGGCCGGAGGGAACCGUACCGCAAACCGACACAGGUGGGCGGGAUGAGCAAUCUGAGGCGCACGAGCGACCUCGCGUCAAGGAACUCGGCAAAAUGCACACGUAACUUCGGGAGAAGUGUGGCUCCCGCCCGGGAGGGCGGGAGCGGCAGAAAGCAGGCCCAGGCGACUGUUUAUCAAAAACACAGCCAUCUGCGAACCAGCAACGGGACGUAUAGGUGGUGACACCUGCCCGGUGCCGGAAGGUAAAGGGGAGCGGUCAGCCCUUCGGGGGCGAAGCUGCGAACCGAAGCCCCGGUAAACGGCGGCCGUCACUAUAA
rnacentral:rRNA from 1 species